AGAACGAACGCUGGCGGCAGGCUUAACACAUGCAAGUCGAACGCAUCGCAAGAUGAGUGGCAGACGGGUGAGUAACGCGUGGGAAUCUACCCAAUUCUUCGGAACAACUGAGGGAAACUUCAGCUAAUACCGGAUGUGCCCUUCGGGGGAAAGAUUUAUCGGAAUUGGAUGAGCCCGCGUUGGAUUAGCUAGUUGGUGGGGUAAAGGCCUACCAAGGCGACGAUCCAUAGCUGGUCUGAGAGGAUGAUCAGCCACACUGGGACUGAGACACGGCCCAGACUCCUACGGGAGGCAGCAGUGGGGAAUAUUGGACAAUGGGCGCAAGCCUGAUCCAGCCAUGCCGCGUGUGUGAUGAAGGUCUUAGGAUUGUAAAGCACUUUCACCGGAGAAGAUAAUGACGGUAUCCGGAGAAGAAGCCCCGGCUAACUUCGUGCCAGCAGCCGC
rnacentral:rRNA from 1 species